AACGAACGCUGGCGGCAGGCUUAACACAUGCAAGUCGAACGCCCCGCCAGGGGAGUGGCAGACGGGUGAGUAACGCGUGGGAACAUACCCUUUUCUACGGAAUAGCUCUGGGAAACUGGAAUUAAUACCGUAUACGCCCUACGGGGGAAAGAUUUAUCGGGGAAGGAUUGGCCCGCGUUGGAUUAGCUAGUUGGUGGGGUAAAGGCCUACCAAGGCGACGAUCUAUAGCUGGUCUGAGAGGAUGAUCAGCCACAUUGGGACUGAGACACGGCCCAAACUCCUACGGGAGGCAGCAGUGGGGAAUAUUGGACAAUGGGCGCAAGCCUGAUCCAGCCAUGCCGCGUGAGUGAUGAAGGCCUUAGGGUUGUAAAGCUCUUUCACCGAUGAAGAUAAUGACGGUAGUCGGAGAAGAAGCCCCGGCUAACUUCGUG
rnacentral:rRNA from 1 species